CAUUUCUGAGUUACCGAGUGGUGGAUCAUUUCUGAGUUACAGAAUGGUGGAUCAUUUCUGAGUUCAGAAGUGGUGGAUCAUUUCUGAGUUACAGAGUGGUGGAUCAUUUCUGAGUUACAGAGUGGUGGAUCAUUUCUGAGUUACAGAAUGGUGGAUCAUUUCUGAGUUACUGAGUGGUGGAUCAUUUCUGAGUUAAAGUGUGGUGGAUCAUUUCUGAGUUACAGAGUGGUGGAUCAUUUCUGAGUUACCGAGUGGUGGAUCAUUUCUGAGUUACAGAGUGGUGGAUCAUUUUUGAGUUACAGAGUG
ensembl:lncRNA